rnacentral:rRNA from 1 species
UACAGAGGUCAUCAGCGUUGUUCGGAUUCAUUGGGCGUAAAGGGUGCGUAGGCGGCGCGGUAAGUCGGGUGUGAAAUCUGGAGCUUAACUCCGAAACUGCAUUCGAUACUGCCGUGCUUGAGGACUGGAGAGGAGACUGGAAUUUACGGUGUAGCGGUGAAAUGCGUAGAUAUCGUAAGGAAGACCAGUGGCGAAGGCGGGUCUCUGGACAGUUCCUGACGCUGAGGCACGAAGGCCAGGGGAGCAAACGGGA